UGAAUGAGAUGGGUGCCCCAGUGACAGAAGAUACAGAGAAGGCAGAAUUACUGAAUGCCUUCUUUGUCUGUUGGGUCUGUCCUGAGGAGCCCCAUGCCCCUGAGGCCCCAGAGGAAGCCAGGAUAUAAGAGGAGUUUGCCUCACUUGAUGAAGACCGGGUUAUGGACCAGUUAAGCAAUCUGGACAUCCAUAAAUCCAUGGGCCCUGAUGGGAUGCAUCAGUGGGUGCUGAGGGAGCUGGUGGAAGUCAUUGCUAGGCCGCUUUCCAUCAUCUUUGAUUCUGAGUAAGGUCCACUUGUACCAAACAAAAUCUCAAGGACUGGAAGAUAUUCAGACUCUGCAAGCAAGGUGACAUUGGCUGAUUAAUUUAUUUGAUUUGUACCACAGUGGAAAAGUAGUGUAUCUCUUUCAUCUUGAUGAAAUAGGUGAAGAAAAUGCAUGUUUUAAGUGACUGUUUGGUACUCUCCUGUAAAAUGUGCACUGAGAUAAUUAAGAUACACAUGAAUAGAAUGCAAAUAUCAUACUAACUGUGGUGUCAGACAACCUAUCACCUAAGUCCUUAUCAGCACCUGAGGAAUGGAAAGCAGCAAAGACAAUCCACCCUUUGAGAAGGAAUCCAAGUUACUUUUCCUUCAUGAACCCACGCUGCCUGUGAGCAGUGAUGACAUUGUUUUUCAGCGUAAUUUUCUCCAUCAUUUUUGCAGGUGGGAUUGACAGGUCCAUAAUUACCAGGGUCUUCUCCAUUGCUCUUCUUGAAAAUAGAAGCAAUGUUUUCCAACUUUCACUCAAGUGGGACCUCUUCAGAUUUCUAAGACCACUGAAAAAUAAUGUUGGAUUCAAAUUUGUCUUACCAAGAAAUUUGUGUCAUUUCUAAUAGUUUCCUGUAAACCUUUUUCAGGUUCAGAAAGACAAGUAAUGUUAAAUCUAGGAAAAAAAAAAAAAAAAAAAAAAAAAAAGCAAUCAAAACUGAGAACAUAUCAGAAAACAUAGUACAUCACUGGUGUUCCCAUCUUGAAUACUGAAUGAAGUUCUGAUAAAAUCAACUUAAAGAGAAGUACAGAACUAGAAAACAUGUAGAAAAAGAAUGAGGAAGAUGAUCAGAAGUAAGGAACAGACUCCACCUGAAAGAAUAAACAGCCUAUCACUUUAGGUUUGUAAAUCUUGGAAGAGAUUCACUAGUUUGCAUGAUACAAAAAGUACUGUGUGCGCUUUUCAGUAUGCUUCCUUCUGCUCUUAACUCUUAAGUUAUUAUUACUAAGAGAUGGAAAGCACCACUGAAUAUUUCCACUGUUGCUCUCAACUAUAUCUACUGCACACUGAUGUUCACUGUAGAGUAGUUGUGUAAACUCUUCAAAAGAUUAUUCAUACUAAUAUUGCAAAAACAAGCACUUGCAAGUUAUGAUUGAGGAUGCCUUUACAAUAAAGUUUCUGCCCUCUUGUACAUGCAUACUCUAUACCUCUUUUUCCAAACACCUCCUAUCUCAUCAUUGCUUAGGGUGGCUGACACUCCCCAGGUGAGCUACUUAGUCAAUGUUAUGUUCUAUCACCAUAAUUCAGUGACGACACAGUGUAGUUCUUUUGCACUAUGCCAUCGAGCUCAAGCUGUGAACGCAGAAUUAUUCUUUUCCCAUGGGCAUUGUGACUUGAUUUUCCCCCAAGUUCUCUCUUUGACUUUUCAAUUAAGUCUGAAAAUUCUGUAAGGGAAUACAGUAGAUGAAGGGAGUUUUUACUU
rnacentral:lncRNA from 1 species